UAGCCGGCUCUAUUUAGUGAGUCGAGCCGAAAGAGUCGGUUCUCUAAAAAGAGCCGGAAAUCCCAUCACUAGUACAGGUGUAUUUAGCGCUGUGACAUACUCCCCCACGUUUUCCCGACUGCAGGACUGCGUCACCGGUUUGUUUACUAUCCCCAGGAGUGACGCAGCUGUUACAUAAUGGAGUCUGACUGAGCUCGCGCAGUCACACCGGCGCGUGGCUCUGUUGUUGUUGUUGUGCGCACGCAGGUGUUUAUGCGACAGCAGCUGAUGUGAGAACAGCGCACGCGCUCUGCUGUCAUCGUGGGGCGGGAGUCUGAAGACAGGUGGAGACAAGACCAGCGCGAGGACUCCUACCGGAUACGAGCCUCGGCACCCGGGCAACAGCUCUCCUCCACAGACCCGUGAAAGUGCCACGGAGAGAGGGAUGGAGGAGCAGGAGGAGGAGGAAGACCUGGAGGACGAGCUGGACGCGUCUCAGCUAGAGAGGUUCUUGAAGGACGGGAGGAGAGCAAAGUCCCUGCCGGCCUGCCCGGGAGGAGCCCACGGAGCGGAGGAGGGCAGGAAGCGCGUGAAGUUCGCGGACUCCAUGGGGCUGAGCCUGGCCCGAGUGAAGCACUUCAGCUCCCUGGAAGAGCCGCAGAUCCCCAGCAAGGUCCUGUCCCGGCACAAGAGCUUCCCCCUGGAGCAGCGGGACCUCCUGAGCAGCCUGUGCCACAACUUCGCCGCCGGCUUGCACGCGGACCUCCCGGAGCUCCGGGACACGGAGCGGAGAGUCCGGCGGCUCCGGGUCUGUCUGGAACGGCUCGUCGCGACGCAGCUGGACGUGCGGGGGCACGUGCGGGUCCUGAGCGGCUGCGCCACCGGGAGGGAGGUCGGAGUGAGGUACACCUUCAACGGCUGGCUGUCCCACAUGGACGCGCAGGCGGUGCCCGUGGCUGCCGUCGAGCCGGGUUUGGUGGGGGAGCGCUUCGCCUUCACCGUGUACAUCCCGCCCCUCGCAGACCCCGGCUCCGCCGUGCACCUCGCCGUUUACCUGAAGUGCGAGGAGGGGGAGUUCUGGGACAACAACGAGGGGCAGAACUACACCGUCAGGUACCGCUGAGUGCCCGGCCUUUGUCAGCGCCGCCUUCCACGUCCCCUGAGCCGUGCGUAAAACCUCUCCAUCCUGCGUAAAACCUCUGUAUUUAAAGCUGUCCGUUCGUCGCAAAGUUCCUUCCUCGCUUCUGUCUCUGACCUUCAGCUCUGGUGUCCUGCUCUCUCUGGCUCACUGUGCUCAGUUCCUGAGGUCAGGACGCGUCAAAGUUUCAGAUGUCACAGCAGGAAAAAUGAAAUCCUGGCAGAGAAGUUUCAACUUUUCUUUUUAACUGUGACGUGGACACUGCUCACUGAUGGACAGUAAAGAUUCCUGAAUGUUGUCACAUGAUUCAUGUUUAGUAAAAGUAACUGAAUCACUUUGGCUGUUUGCCUGCUUCUCGUGACGUCAUCACGCGCCGCACUGUAAAACGAUGCUGAGCCGAACAGGAAGCAGAUUCUGACAUGUUGAAGGAGUGUGAGAGGAGUGAGCCUGUCCUCUGCCUUCGAAGCCAGAUGUUUCCUCUGUGGUGUUUUUAAAGCUCCAGAUGUUUUCAGUGGUGAUGCCGUGUCCUCUUCAGCCUGGAUUGGUCUGAUUGGAGGGUGGUGGCGUGGAUGCAGAGAGGAGGUUCCCUCCUGAGCCCAUCAACCACAGAACCAGGUCCGACUGUAGAGCAGCGCUGCCUGAACACCAGCAGCGGUUCCCGAGCGCGUGACGGCGUGUGGCUGCGCGUCCUCCAUGUGGCGCUGCAGAGCUGUCAGUUUAUCAGUGCAGCUGCUUCCUCUCAGCCUCCAUCUCUGAACGCUGAUGAGCUCCAACCUCUCUGCUUCAGCCCAGAGGAAUCCCAGCAUUUCAACAGGAAGCGACACUUCAAAAUAAAAGCCGCAGCCUUUUAUAACUGA